AGAAUAUCCUGCCUCAUGGCCACAGUAUAGAGAGAGAGUGGGUUUCAUAGAAAGAACCAAGGACUUCUUCCACCUCACAGAACUGGAGAACCGAACGACAUUUAUGUUCUGGAGAAGAUAUAAUGACACUGUACCAGUACUGAGUCAAUGUGCAGAUCUACCAGGUAGUUGAGGAAAUAAUGAGACUGUACCAGUACUGAGUCAAUGUGCAGGGGUACCAGGUAGUUGAGGUAAUAAUGAGACUAUAAGGAGUACCAGUACUGAGUCAAUGUGCAGGGGUACCAGGUAGUUGAGGUAAUGAUGAGACUAUAAGGAGUACCAGUACUGAGUCAAUGUGCAGGGGUACCAGGUAGUUGAGGUAAUAAUGAGACUAUAAGGAGUACCAGUACUGAGUCAAUGUGCAGGGGUACCAGGUUGUUGAGGUAAUAAUGAGACUAUAAGGAGUACCAGUACUGAGUCAAUGUGCAGGGGUACCAGGUAGUUGAGUUAAUAAUGAGACUAUAAGGAGUACCAGUGCUGAGUCAAUGUGCAGGGGUACCAGGUAGUUGAGGUAAUAAUGAG
rnacentral:lncRNA from 1 species